CCUACGGGAGGCAGCAGUGAGGAAUAUUGGUCAAUGGACGCAAGUCUGAACCAGCCAAGUAGCGUGCAGGAUGACGGCCCUCCGGGUUGUAAACUGCUUUUAGUUGGGAAUAAAAGGGGGCUCGUGAGCCCCGUAUUGUAUGUACCAUCAGAAAAGGGACCGGCUAAUUCCGUGCCAGCAGCCGCGGUAAUACGGAAGGUCCGGGCGUUAUCCGGAUUUAUUGGGUUUAAAGGGUGCGCAGGCGGCCUGUUAAGUCAGCGGUAAAAGCCCGGGGCUCAACCCCGGCGAGCCGUUGAAACUGGCGGGCUGGAGUUGGAGAGAAGUACGCGGAAUGCGCGGUGUAGCGGUGAAAUGCUUAGAUAUCGCGCAGAACCCCGAUUGCGAAGGCAGCGUACCGGCUCCACACUGACGCUGAGGCACGAAAGCGUGGGUAUCGAACAGGAUUAGAUACCCCGGUAGUC
rnacentral:rRNA from 1 species